rnacentral:rRNA from 1 species
GACGAACGCUGGCGGCGUGCUUAACACAUGCAAGUCGAACGGAAAGGCCCUGCUUUUGUGGGGUGCUCGAGUGGCGAACGGGUGAGUAACACGUGAGUAACCUGCCCUUGACUUUGGGAUAACUUCAGGAAACUGGGGCUAAUACCGGAUAGGAGCUCCUGCUGCAUGGUGGGGGUUGGAAAGUUUCGGCGGUUGGGGAUGGACUCGCGGCUUAUCAGCUUGUUGGUGGGGUAGUGGCUUACCAAGGCUUUGACGGGUAGUCGGCCUGAGAGGGUGACCGGCCCCAUUGGGACUGAGAUACGGCCCCGACUCCCACGGGAGGGCAGCGUGGGGAAUAUUGCACCAUGGGAGGAAGCCUCAUGCCGCAACGCCGCGUGCGGGAUGUCAGCCUUCUCGUUGUGUACCGCUUUCGCCUUUGACGAGGCGUGAGUGACGGUAAUGGGUAAAGAAGCACCGGCUAACUACGUG